ACAAAGAAAAAACAGAAACUUAUUUAAAGUGGAAAAAUUUAACAAUAAUAUAGCAUUCCAACUCAUGAUUUGAUACCACUAUUAAGAUAAUAUACUUCAUUUUUUACAUAAUAUUUAUUUUUCAUAUCAUUAUUCCAUGUAAAAUUCAAACUCACAUUUAAAAUUUUCAAGCUAAUAAUUUUCAUAUCCAUCGUCACUCAUCUCAAAAUUAUUCAUAAACAAAAUACACGAACAACAGACCACACAUAAACAAAUAAAUCAAAGAAUCAAACGCAUAGACUUAAGUAGAAGGUGGGAUGAGAUUGGUAGAUUCCUUGAUCUUGGAUAUGAACAACUUUUGAAAAUCAGAAUCUACAUUAAGAGCCACCUGUUGCAGUGUAGAUGAGAAAAUGCUCCAAAUCGAUGUCUUUCCAGCCAACUCUUCAAACAAAGGUCUGCAAAUAGGAUAAUCAAUGAUUUUUUGUUAGUAUCUGUGACAUGACAUACUUUAAAACAACAUAAUCAAUCAAUUUUAAUGUUAUUGCAUGCCAUUAACAACAUCUUACUUUGUUGUUGUCACAAUGGAAUAACUCUCCAAUCCUUCUUCACCAGCAAUUUCAGCAACAACAAAGAACUGUGGCACCACAACCAAAUCACCAGCCUCAACUUGAGUGUUUAACACACUCUUUCCAUUGAAGUCCACAAUUUCAAUCUUGCCACUUCCUCUAGCAAUAUAAAUCAACUCAACAGUAGGACUCACCGGGUAUGAUGGAGCCUUGAUAGCAUUAGGUUCAAGUUUUACUCUGAUCAAGCUUAACCCAACAUCCUCAAUAGAACCAAAAUCUUUCUCUGUUAAGGUUUUCACCAACCCAGCUUUUUCCACAGCAUUUUCUGGCUCUGCACCAUCUAUAUUAUACACUAACUUUUUGGUAUUGUGCAGUUGGGGCUUAGGAACAGGUUGAGUUUUGUCUAGUUUGAUGAUCAAAACCCCAGUUUGGCUUCUUGUGAGCUUUUCCACUUCAUUUUUGUCUAAGCCAUAGACCUUGCUCGUGAGAUCAGUGGAGAAGCCUCCUAUAACUCCUAUAGCCCCAGUUAGAAAGAAAUAGGUGAAUUGACCUGGAAUAAGAGCCUUUGAAGUUUCUCCAAGAAAAACGAUGACCAGAUCUGUGUCUCCAUCGUUGAACCACCACGAAACAGCUCCAACAGGUACUGCUAUAACGUCUCCUUUCUCAAGUUUCACAACCACCUCUUCUUUGCUGUUCGGGAGAACCAUUCCAGCUACUCCGUCGCUCCCUACAAAGUUUCUUAUAUAAAUAAUAACUCGCAAUCCUAAACUCUAAGGUGAGAUUUGCAGUCAUGAAAUCGCUUUGAUACAAAAAAUCUUGUUAAAAUAGACUUAACAUAUGAUUCUGAUAUACGUGAACUUUAAGUCUAACUUAAAUCGUGUUAUCUCUGAUGAACAUAAGAAUUUUUGCUAGCAUAAAUCUUAAUAAUGCAUGAUACUGAUAUUAUAUUAUUAUAUUAAGAAGUAAAGUUAUCAGUUUUAUAAAAGUAAGAUCAUGUUAUUAAACUCUUUUAACAAUAAAAAAUUUGCAAGAGUAACACGAGGAGAGAAUAGAAAAUAUAUAUAUAUGAAAGGGUGCUGACCUUGAAUGACAUAACCUAGUUUGGAUGAAUCUGCAUAAUGAGGAAGAGCAAAGCCACGAGGCUGAAGAAGAAGGCGACCUGCACCCAGAUAUUCCUUGGCGAGAAGUGGCACUUGAGAAGUUGUCCAAGUGUAGUAACCUCCGCCAUCUCCCUCAAACAAUGCUUCAGCUUUCUUUGGUGUUAAGUCUAUCGCCAUUCGUUCAAAGGAAUAGAGUUUCUGUCGAAAGAAAUGAGGAACAAGGUGAUUCAGAUGCAUAUAAGAGAUGAUAGUGGCUAU
rnacentral:lncRNA from 1 species